CUACACGACCGUACCGCAAACCGACACUGGUGCGCGAGAUGAGUAUUCUAAGGCGCUUGAGAGAACUCAGGAGAAGGAACUCGGCAAAUUGACACCGUAACUUCGGAAGAAGGUGUGCCUUUAGUAGGUGAACCUGUACAAGGGGAGCCCAAUGAGGUUGCAAAAAAUCGGUGGCUGCGACUGUUUAAUAAAAACACAGCACUCUGCAAACACGAAAGUGGACGUAUAGGGUGUGACGCCUGCCCGGUGCUGGAAGAUUAAAUGAUGGGGUGCAAGCUCUUGAUUGAAGUCCCAGUAAACGGCGGCCGUAACUAUAACGGUCCUAAGGUAGCGAAAUUCCUUGUCGGGUAAGUUCCGACCUGCACGAAUGGCGUAACGAUGGCCACACUGUCUCCUCCUGAGACUCAGCGAAGUUGAAAUGUUUGUGAUGAUGCAAUCUCCCCGCGGAAAGACGGAAAGACCCCAUGAACCUUUACUGUAGCUUUGUAUUGGACUUUGAACAGAUCUGUGUAGGAUAGGUGGGAGGCUUUGAAGUGUGGUCGCUAGAUCGCAUGGAGCCAACGUUGAAAUACCACCCUGGUGUGUUUGAGGUUCUAACCUAGGCCCGUAAUCCGGGUCGGGGACAGUGCAUGGUAGGCAGUUUGACUGGGGCGGUCUCCUCCCAAAGCGUAACGGAGGAGUUCGAAGGUACGCUAGGUACGGUCGGACAUCGUGCUAAUAGUGCAAUGGCAUAAGCGUGCUUAACUGCGAGACUGACAAGUCGAGCAGAUGCGAAAGCAGGACAUAGUGAUCCGGUGGUUCUGUAUGGAAGGGCCAUCGCUCAACGGAUAAAAGGUACUCUGGGGAUAACAGGCUGAUACCGCCCAAGAGUUCAUAUCGACGGCGGUGUUUGGCACCUCGAUGUCGGCUCAUCUCAUCCUGGGGCUGUAGCCGGUCCCAAGGGUAUGGCUGUUCGCCAUUUAAAGAUGUACGUGAGCUGGGUUUAAAACGUCGUGAGACAGUUUGGUCCCUAUCUUCCGUGGGCGCUGCAGAUUUGAGGAAGCCUGCUCCUAGUACGAGAGGACCGGAGUGGACACACCUCUGGUGUAUCGGUUGUCACGCCAGUGGCAUUGCCGAGUAGCUAUGUGUGGAAGAGAUAACCGCUGAAAGCAUCUAAGCGGGAAACUCGUUUCAAGAUGAGAUCUGCCGGGGCCUUGAGCCCCCUAAAGAGUCGUUCAAGACCAGGACGUUGAUAGGUCGGGUGUGGAAGCGCAGUAAUGCGUUAAGCUAACCGAUACUAAUUGCUCGUGCGGCUUGAUCAA
rnacentral:rRNA from 1 species